CUUGGAAUGGCGGCGUGCUAUACAUGCAAGUCGAGCGGAUUGAUGGGAGCUUGCUCCCUGAAAUCAGCGGCGGACGGGUGAGUAACACGUGGGUAACCUGCCUGUAAGACUGGGAUAACUCCGGGAAACCGGGGCUAAUACCGGAUAGUUCUUUUCCUCGCAUGAGGAAAAGUGGAAAGGCGGCUUCGGCUGCCACUUACAGAUGGACCCGCGGCGCAUUAGCUAGUUGGUGAGGUAACGGCUCACCAAGGCAACGAUGCGUAGCCGACCUGAGAGGGUGAUCGGCCACACUGGGACUGAGACACGGCCCAGACUCCUACGGGAGGCAGCAGUAGGGAAUCUUCCGCAAUGGACGAAAGUCUGACGGAGCAACGCCGCGUGAGUGAUGAAGGUUUUCGGAUCGUAAAGCUCUGUUGUUAGGGAAGAACAAGUGCCGUUCGAAUAGGGCGGCACCUUGACGGUACCUAACCAGAAAGCCACGGCUAACUACGUGCCAGCAGCCGCGGUAAUACGUAGGUGGCAAGCGUUGUCCGGAAUUAUUGGGCGUAAAGCGCGCGCAGGCGGUCUCUUAAGUCUGAUGUGAAAGCCCACGGCUCAACCGUGGAGGGUCAUUGGAAACUGGGGGACUUGAGUACAGAAGAGGAAAGUGGAAUUCCACGUGUAGCGGUGAAAUGCGUAGAUAUGUGGAGGAACACCAGUGGCGAAGGCGACUUUCUG
rnacentral:rRNA from 1 species